GGGGCUGUAGCUCAGUGGCACAGCAUCUGCUUGGCAUACAGGUGGUCCCAGGUUCAAUCCCUGGUAAUGUCA
rnacentral:tRNA from 1 species